rnacentral:rRNA from 1 species
UACGUAGGUGGCAAGCGUUUGUCCGGAAUUACUGGGCGUAAAGGGCGUGUAGGCGGCUUUUUUAAGCCAGACGUGAAAUCCCUAGGCUUAACCUAGGAACUGCGUUUGAAACUGGAUGGCUUGAGGACCGGAGAGGGCAGUGGAAUUCCCAGUGUAGCGGUGAAAUGCGUAGAUAUUGGGAGGAACACCAGUGGCGAAGGCGACUGCCUGGACGGCACCUGACGCUGAGGCGCGAAAGCUAGGGGAGCAAACGGG